GCUGACUAACAGCAUUAGAGUAGAGCAGCUCUGCUGGUGAUAGCCCGUAUAUCUCCCUUAGGCACAGGCUUACUGAGACUUUUGACACAUCUUACUACAAGUUCUGUUGGACCAUUGAAGAAAAUGUGACCUUUGAAUGCUUCUUUUUGAAGUGAUAAAGCCAGAGGUCACUUGCUAGCUGCCCCUCCCCUUUUUUCCUGUUGUCCUUUCCUUUGUGGCAGCAGGACUGUCAGUCAGAGCUUCUGCACUGCCUGCCCCAGCUACUGUAGGUCUCAGAGCCAGCCGCCUGCCCAGCCCAGAAGUGCCAAUCUCUCGCCGAGAACUCUCCCCUCUGGCCUAGUGAUGAGCUGCAAGAACUGUGCAGAUUGAGUGAUUUGAGGAUAAAGAGAGAGGACUGAAAAAUAAACUGAAAAACAAUUCAGACAAUUGUUAUGGCUUCUUCAUUAACCAUUGAAACUUGCUGAUAUAGCACUGAGGGCACUUCUGUCAGAGCUCUCCACUCAGACUCUUAAAAUGCAAUGCAGUGCUCUAGAGACUCUUGAGGAGGAUGAGAAAAAAUGCUUUCAAGGUUCACCAUGUUUCUGUGUACCACAAUCAAAUUUGUUUUGUAUUGCAUUUUGUUAUUUAUUUCACAAGAUUGCUGCACAAUCAGUAUCAAUAAAAUAUAUUCCAAAAAGGAGAAGAAAAUGUAUCAUUAAACGUGGUGAUUCUAAGUGGAAGCCUUGGAACUAGUUUCUGUUGUAAUGUGACGUAUUCCUUGUUUUGCUUUGCUUGCAAAUCUUUCCUUUUUCCUGGGAAUCUAUUACCACAUCUUGUUUGGAUAAAUGCUUUUGGCUUUGCUGUCAUGCAAAACUUAAAGCUUUUGGUGUUUUUCUGUGCAGGUUAUUUUUCAGUGCAAGAUGUUAACAGUGUUUUAUAUCUCUCUUAGGGUCAGAACAGUCAGAUUUUUAUUAGUCUAUUGAUUUAUUGAUUAUUAGUCAAAUUAAUAAAAACUUUAUUAAUUGAAA